rnacentral:rRNA from 1 species
AGAGUUUGAUCCUGGCUCAGGACGAACGCUGGCGGCGUGCUUAACACAUGCAAGUCGAACGGAAAGGCCUCUUUUUGGGAUGCUCGAGUGGCGAACGGGUGAGUAACACGUGGGUAAUCUGCCCUGCACUUCGGGAUAAGCUUGGGAAACUGGGUCUAAUACCGGAUAGGACCAUGCUGCGCAUGUGGUGUGGUGGAAAGCUAUUUGUGGUGUGGGAUGGGCCCGCGGCCUAUCAGCUUGUUGGUGGGGUGAUGGCCUACCAAGGCGACGACGGGUAGCCGGCCUGAGAGGGUGUCCGGCCACACUGGGACUGAGAUACGGCCCAGACUCCUACGGGAGGCAGCAGUGGGGAAUAUUGCACAAUGGGCGCAAGCCUGAUGCAGCGACGCCGCGUGGGGGAUGACGGCCUUCGGGUUGUAAACCUCUUUCACCAUCGGCGAAGGCUCAGUGUUUGUUGGGUUGACGGUAGGUGGAGAAGAAGCACCGGCCAACUACGUGCCAGCAGCCGCGGUAAUACGUAGGGUGCGAGCGUUGUCCGGAAUUACUGGGCGUAAAGAGCUCGUAGGUGGUUUGUCGCGUUGUUCGUGAAAUUCCCUGGCUUAACUGGGGGCGUGCGGGCGAUACGGGCAGACUGGAGUACUGCAGGGGAGACUGGAAUUCCUGGUGUAGCGGUGGAAUGCGCAGAUAUCAGGAGGAACACCGGUGGCGAAGGCGGGUCUCUGGGCAGUAACUGACGCUGAGGAGCGAAAGCGUGGGGAGCGAACAGGAUUAGAUACCCUGGUAGUCC